rnacentral:lncRNA from 1 species
UGAGCUCCUCCAGUUCAUGCAUGGGUGUUUAAAGUUUCAAGUGAUUCCAGUUAAAUAUUCUGUUUUCAGACAAAUUGGUGGGGACUGUCCAAUGAAGACAUCUGCCCUGUUCCACUGAAGUCCCUGCAAUUACCCUUCUCUGACAGCACAUGGAUUCACCAUUUGCCGUUCUGCUCUAGAGGGAGUACAAUGAAAAUUGCUAAUGUGUUUGCAAACGAUGCCUAUGCAGAAGUACUCUGUGCAAAAGAAGGAUCCCAAUCUUACUCAUGCCGGAUGGAGGUGAGAGCAGCAACCCACGGCGGUGCUGGGGAAGCCUUCCCUGCAAAUCCGCCCCUCGUGCUAACACGGUCUGUCGGGAGACCCGUGCCUGUCGCAGCGCCACCUGGCGGGCUGCGCGCCGGCCGCGGAGAUGCGCGGGCACUUGCAAUUGAUCGCGCAUGUGCCGGACCUUGACAACAACGCCGCCGGUAUUGGUGGAGCAGGAGAGCGGCGUGUUGCAAAACUGCUUUGGAAAUGUGGCGAGGACGUCUUAGCUGAAACGGGUCUGGAUUGACUUUUUUUGUUUGUUGCUUAAUUGUUUUCGGGCGGGGGAAAGGUCUCUUUUUCAGGGAAGAGCUGGGAGCCAGGGCGACUCGUCGCUGAGGGUUUGGUUUUUGCACAACGGGAGCGGAGCACGUGCCGGGUGCAGAGGUGGUGCCGGGUGCAGGGGUGGUGCCGGGUGCAGACGCGGCGCCGGGCGCCACCGCCCGCCUCCCUGGCGACGCCGAUGCCGCCGCCGCCGCCGCCGGGACCGAGCCGCCGCGCGGGUGAGUCGCGGGGCUGGGGCCGCUU